rnacentral:rRNA from 1 species
GACGAACGCUGGCGGCGCGCCUAACACAUGCAAGUCGAACGGAGUCAAGAGGAGCUUGCUUUUCUUGACUUAGUGGCGAACGGGUGAGUAACGCGUGAGUAACCUGCCCUGGAGUGGGGGACAACAGUUGGAAACGACUGCUAAUACCGCAUAAGCCCACGGAUCUGCAUGGAUCUGCGGGAAGAGGAUUUAUUCGCUCUAGGAUGGACUCGCGUCCAAUUAGCUAGUUGGUGAGGUAACGGCCCACCAAGGCGACGAUUGGUAGCCGGACUGAGAGGUUGAACGGCCACAUUGGGACUGAGACACGGCCCAGACUCCUACGGGAGGCAGCAGUGGGGAUAUUGCACAAUGGGGGAAACCCUGAUGCAGCGACGCCGCGUGGAGGAAGAAGGUUUUCGGAUUGUAAACUCCUGUCGUUAGGGACGAUAAUGACGGUACCUAACAAGAAAGCACCAGCUAACUACGUG